rnacentral:rRNA from 1 species
UAGAGGAAGUAAAAGUNGUAACAAGUUUCGUAGGGGACCUGCGGAAGGAUCAUUAUUGAAAUAAACCUGAUGGAGUGGUUGCUGCUUCUCUAGGGAACAUGGGGCACACUUGUCUUCUUUAUAUAUCUCCCCUUGUGCACUUCUGGUAGACCUGGAUUUUUUUCUGAAUGCCUCCCUGGCGUUGGGGUUUGAAGGAUUGAUUUUUUUGUCUUUUCCUUACAUUUUCAGGUCUUUGUUUCUUCAUAUCCCCCAUUGUAUGUUAAAGAAGGUAAUAAAAAAAAAAAGGGCCUUGGUGCCUAUAAACUUAUACAACUUUCACCAACGGAUCUCUUGGCUCUCGCAUCGAUGAARAAAACAGCGAAAUGCGAUAAGUAAUGUGAAUUGCGGAAUUCAGGGAUUCAUCGAUUCUUUGAACCCCCCUUGCGCUCCUGGGUAUUCCGAGGAAAAUGCCCGGUUGAGGGUCAUUAAUAUAUCAACUUUCUUCAGCUUUUGCUGGUUGGAAGGGUGGGAGGUGGGGGUAUUAUUUUGCUGGUCUCUUUCUGAGGUCUGCUCCCCUAAAAUUCGAUUAGCGGAACCAUUUGUUGACCGUUCAUUGGUGUGAUAAUUAUCUACUCUAUUGACGGUGAGGCAAGUUCAGCUUCUAACAGUCCAUUGAUUAGGACAAGCUUUUCAUUAA